AUGCAUAAGCCUGAACGUGAACUCCAGCAGACCAAUUGUGUGUAUCCCACGGACCCUGCCUCCUUUCAUAGAGUUCUGCUGUCCAUUGAACAUCUACUGUGUGCAGUUGGGAAACUGAACUGGAGGCCAAAGGCCUCACGAAGAGGCACAGGUAUAACUAAAGUAACAAUUGCUAGCCUUUAUAGAGCGCUUACUGUGUACCCAGUGCUGCAAAGAGUUUUAUAUCUAAAUAUCUCAUUUCAUUGUCCCAAUAAUCCUUUGAGAUGGGUACUAUUAUUAUUCUCCAUUUUAUAAAUGAGAAACUCAGACUUGGAAAGGCAAGGUCGGGUGCUGUCCAAGGGUAGAAGCCAUGAUUUGAACCAAAGGACUCUGACCCCAAAGCCCUCAUGCUUCUAACACUACACUGUGGAAAUAAUGGUCACAAGUAUUAUUCCUACUUUAUUUAUUUUGUUUUAAGAUUUUACUUAUUUAUUUGAGAGAGAGAGAGAGAGAGAGCACGAGUGAUGAGGGAAAUGCAGAGGGAGAGGGAGAAGCAGACUCUCUGCUGAGCAGGGAACCUGAUGUGGGGCUUGAGCCCAGGACCUGAGAUCAUGACCUGAGCCAAAGGCAGACCCUUAACCAACUGAGUCACCCAGGCGCCCCUCUUCCUACCUAGUUCUGUGCUCCUGUUGUCCAGCUGAGGGCUGUGGGGCUCAGAGAGGUUGAGUGACUCUUGCAGGCUCAGCUCGUCUGGAGCUGUGGGCUGCACAGCCGGUUCCUGGGACCUGCAAGUCUGGGCUCUUUCUUCUACACUCACAUAAGACUAAGACCUUUUCUGUCCUUCUUCCUGCAGAAAUGGAGCUAAAAUGGAAAAGGGCCCAGGGGAGCGGGGAGGGGUGUGGGAAGGGGAGAAAUGAUUGCUGAGGCCUGGAAGCUUUUACAAGUGUGGAUCUGCCCUGGUUGUUGAAGAACACGUCCGAAUCUCUCCAGAGGCUGCGGUGAAGAUGCUCUGGAAUUCCUGGUGCGCCUGAUGAGGUGUUGCUGUGCUCAGCCUGUCAGCCAGCUGGCUCCUUUAGGGAUGGCCCCUGUGGGGUCUGGAAGCUCUGGAUCCUGAGGCUGCAGUAAAUCAGGUCAGCUGUGGCUGGAGGGUACAGAGUCCUCACCGAGCAUCAGGCAUGUUGCUAAGGUGCUGGGCACAGUCCCUCAGGGCAUCCUCACAGCUGUAGACAAAUCCAUACUGUUUAUUAUUCCCAUUUUACAGAGGAGAAAGCUGAGGCAGAGAAAGGGUGCCUUUUCUGCACCCAUGCAGGUAUCCAGUCUUAAAGUGGGUUAACUGGGGUUCAGAGAUGGGGAGCCCUGGUGGCUUAAACCCAGUGGCCUGGGGGUAUGGGACUUGCAGUCAGAGGUCCUGAUUUUAUGGGCACUCUUGCCUUUUGGGACCCUUCUUUCCGUAAUAAAUAUUAAAUGUGAUAUCUUAGGGGUAUGUUG
rnacentral:lncRNA from 12 species